CCUACGGGUGGCAGCAGUGGGGAAUAUUGGACAAUGGGGGGAACCCUGAUCCAGCGACGCCGCGUGAGUGAUGAAGUAUUUCGGUUUGUAAAGCUCUAUCAGUAGAGAAGAAAAUGACGGUAUCUGACUAAUAAGCCCCGGCUAACUACGUGCCAGCAGCCGCGGUAAUACGUAGGGUGCAAGCGUUAUCCGGAUUUACUGGGCGUAAAGGGAGCGUAGGCGGUGCAGCAAGUCUGAUGUGAAAUCCGGGGGCCGAACGACAGGACUGCAUUGGAAACUGUUAAACUGGAGUACAGGAGAGGGAGGUGGAAUGCUUGGGGGAGGGGUAAAAUCCGUAGAGAUCAAGAGGAAAACUCGUGGCGAAGGG
rnacentral:rRNA from 1 species